UAUGGCGACCCGAAAUUCUUUCUUUUUUCUUUUUGUAAAAAUAGCUUCGAGAAUGCUCGCGAGUCUUGUCAAACGAGACAAGGGUUGCUACUUGCUAGACUGAAAUAAUUCUUCUUAAACCAAUCCAUACUAACAAAUGUUUCAAAACUUGCUGGGGGAUCUUCGCUUUAGUUUGCACCUAAAAAGGAAGGCACACAAAAUCUUUAAUGGUAUCCUGAUCAUGAUGGUCUGAGAAGAAAUAAUAUACAAAAUUUUAGAAAAAUUA